rnacentral:rRNA from 1 species
AACGAACGCUGGCGGCAGGCCUAACACAUGCAAGUCGAGCGAACCCUUCGGGGUUAGCGGCGGACGGGUUAGUAACGCGUGGGAAUAUGCCCAAAGGUACGGAAUAGCCUCGGGAAACUGAGAGUAAUACCGUAUGUGCCCUUCGGGGGAAAGAUUUAUCGCCUUUGGAUUAGCCCGCGUUGGAUUAGGUAGUUGGUGGGGUAAUGGCCUACCAAGCCGACGAUCCAUAGCUGGUUUGAGAGGAUGAUCAGCAACACUGGGACUGAGACACGGCCCAGACUCCUACGGGAGGCAGCAGUGGGGAAUCUUAGACAAUGGGGGAAACCCUGAUCUAGCCAUGCCGCGUGGACGAUGAAGGCCUUAGGGUUGUAAAGUCCUUUCAGCUGGGAAGAUAAUGACGGUACCAGCAGAAGAAGCCCCGGCUAACUCCGUGCCAGCCGCCGCAGUAAUAC